UGUGGGCAUUCACUGCUAUGAAUUUCCCUUGUAGAACUGCUUUCAUUGUGUCCCACAGAUUCCUGUAUGUUGUAUUGGCAUUAUCAUGUAAUUGUAGAAACUAAUUUCUUCUUUAAUUUCCUCUGUGACCCAUUGGUUGUUCAGGAGAAUGUUAUUCAAUUUUCAUGUGUUUGUGGAGUUCUUGUGGUUUUUUUAUGCUAUUGAUCUCCAAUUUUAUUUUGUAGGGAAUGUUGUGCCCAGAUUGUGAGGUCCCAGAGACCACCAGGAGGCCGUUUCCGAUAGUCGGGGCUCUCAACCCUGACCCGCUGCAUCGGUGUUGGAUGAGAGUCCCUGCUCGAGCUUGAAUAAAUGACCCUCAUGUGUUUGCAUCGGAAUCAGCUCCUUGGCUGUCUUUGGGGACCUCGAGAUCUGGGCACAACAGGAGGAACAGAGAGGACAGUAAACUGGCUUAUAGUCAGUCGACAGACAUUUACCGACCGCCAACUUUGAGCAAAGCCAGCGGCCCGCCUUCCUGCUGCACUGGCCGGCCGUGAGUCCCCGCACUGCAGAAGUGUGCAUUGCGGGGGCACACGAGUUGUGAGAGGAAGGAGCGCGAACGAGAAGAUGGACAGUGCCAGAGACGGCAAAGACCGAGGUCCUGAGAGCGACGACACUGCUGAAGGGCUGGAGUGAGCGCAAGAAGGGGCGGCAGGGGACCUUGCUGAUUUGUACAAUCUGUUUCCAGAACAGAAAAACUCUUGAUGAGGCCAUUACAGCUGGACAGUGUUACCGGUGUUAAAAACAAACCAAUAAGUACGUGUGUGUGUGUGUGUGUGUGUGUAUUUAUGGAGGAUAUAUACAUAAAGAGGAUAUAUAUAAGGAGGAUAUAUAUGUGGAGGGUAUAUGUAUGGAGGAUAUAUAUAUAUAUAUAUAUAUAUAUAUAUAUAU
rnacentral:lncRNA from 1 species